CAAAUUAAAGCUUAAAAUAAGCAUCAUUAUUUACAUUAAUGUUUUGGUUGUGUGAUUCAACCUAAUUUGA
rnacentral:tRNA from 1 species